GAGUUUGAUUCUGGCUCAGAUUGAACGCUGGCGGAAUGCUUUACACAUGCAAGUCGAGCGGCAGCGCGGGGUAACCUGGCGGCGAGCGGCGAACGGGUGAGUAAUACAUCGGAACGUGCCCAGACGUGGGGGAUAGCCCGGCGAAAGCCGGAUUAAUACCGCAUGUGAUCUGAGGAUGAAAGCGGGGGACCUUCGGGCCUCGCGCGUUUGGAGCGGCCGAUGGCAGAUUAGGUAGUUGGUGGGGUAAAGGCUUACCAAGCCUGCGAUCUGUAGCUGGUCUGAGAGGAUGAUCAGCCACACUGGGACUGAGACACGGCCCAGACUCCUACGGGAGGCAGCAGUGGGGAAUUUUGGACAAUGGGCGCAAGCCUGAUCCAGCCAUUCCGCGUGCAGGACGAAGGCCCUCGGGUUGUAAACUGCUUUUGUACAGAACGAAAAGUCUCUGGCUAAUAACCUGGGG
rnacentral:rRNA from 1 species